CAUUUCGACGACAUCUAUUCUCUCCAAACCAAACCCUAACCUCUCUAUUCUCUAUUCUUUCUCGCUCUUCUCUCUCACCGUCGACCACACUCAGAAAUCAGAACUUGACUGCCAUCUUCAUAACCAUCAUCUUCUUCAACCUUGUUGUCGGCUAUGGCGGCAACAUCCGAUAAAGAUAAAGAAGAUAUACUGGAAAGAAUGCUUACCAACUUAGCUUUUCCUCGCGCUAUCUUACUCGCCAAGCUUCUUCCUCGCGCUAUCGCUGCUCUCUCUUCUCAAUCUACUUCAAUUCGAUUAUUCGAAACAAGCGGCCUGAUAGCUCCAAAUUUUUUAUUCAUUCCAGAUUUGAGAACUUAUAUAUACUGCAUUGAUUGAGAGCUUUGGUCGAUCAGGUAACGUAGAGGAAGCAUUGAAACUUCUCAGUUCAAUGAAGAGCAGACAAGUCCAGCCCUCAAUCUACAUUUAUAGAUCAUUGAUUAAUAAUCUAAAGAAAAUGGGGAAGUUGAAAAUUGCAGCUUCCCUUCUGGAUGAGAUGAAUCAUUAUCUUCCAAAUCUAGUUGGUCCGAAGGAUUUCAAAAGAAAAAACAGAUGAAGAACCUACAACACUGAGCAUGGAUGCAAAGUAAUUUUAUUGUCACAAAUACAUGGUCCUGUGGUUGAUAAUAAGAAUUUUGGACAAGCAUCAAGUGCAUGUAGAGUCGGUUGAUCUUAAGAAAGGCAAGUUUUAAUAACAUUACAUGCCUUCCCAUUUUUCUUUUCUAAUUUCUGUUCCAUUUCCUAGUUUUUGAAUGCAUCUCCUUUUCUCUAGUCCUUUUUAUUGCAUGGAUCUUCUUUUGGUUGUUUGCGUGGGUUCACUGAUACUGCAGUACUGAGUUUGUAGGUACUCAGAGAAGCCGGGCAAUGGUUUAUUUAUUUUUUAAAAAUUAUUUUCUUUAGAUUCUAUACCAUUGUUCUUGGAUGAUUAGUUUUCACUCCUGUCUUAUGAUGUAAGGAUGGUUUCUAAUAUUCUAUACAUGUUGUUUUCCUGUUAUGAACCUUUCUUUUUUGCGUGACAUGUACUUUUUGUUCUACAGAUUCACAUUAACGCGAAUCCAACAAUAUCCGAUAUGACUAUAAUUGAUAUUAUCUACUCACAAGGGAAGGAUACACCAAUUGAGAUAUCUAGCGGAAUGUUUAUAACCUUGGUGUCUCAGAUGAAAGAAAUUAGUGUGCUGUUAUCUGCUCACAUGAGUAAUGUCCGACAAAAGUUCAACGAAGCAUGAGAUAUCUACUACUUCUGAAUACAUCAUCUGAAGCAGGUUCUGUUCAAACAAGGUCAAAAAAUGUGGCGACUGAAGAGGGAGCUGGAAUGAAGUAACAAGCAUUAACGUGGCGACAGAAAAAGGAUACUUUUAUAGAAGCUCCUUCACUCAUUUUUAUUCAUCCUUUCUCGAACUUAGUUUGUGACAUAACACAAUUGAAGCCCACAUGAAGUUCCAAAUGGUAAGUGACAUUCAAAGUCUGAGAAUAUUACGAGGACAUAGGCGGGUUCAAUUUCAUUUUCAUGAAAAUCAGAGAUUGGUUGGCCUGGUGGUACAGUACUUCGGCAUUGGCAGUGGCUCGGACUAGUAUUAGAUUGAAAUUGUUAUAUUAGAUUUUAGUUACUAUGUAAUUAUACUAUUAUAGUACUAAAUUUUGGUAUUCGAUUGUAAUUAUAUAUAUUUAAUUUAAAUGAAAUUCUCAUUUGUUUAUAUCUCAA